UCAUUCGACGUCACUUGGUUUUAACGAUCGUCACUUCCUCAAGACGAUUUUCACCCCACUCCCCUUUUUACUAAUGGCAGACAAAAUCGUUGCCAAUGAUGAUCAAGAAAAGGAGCAACACAAAAAUUAAGUUAUGGCCAUAUUGUUUUUCGUGACCAAAAUGCAUGUUUUGUUAUUAUUGCCAUAUACAGUAAAUUGUAAAUGAGAUGCAUUCUGGGAUAGUGUCAACAUGGCAGCCUGGAUGUUGUUCAAGCUUGUAGCCAAAGAACUAACCCUGUUGUACACUUCUGAGCUAAGUGCUCAGUUUAUUUGCAUUUUGUUAAAUUUACGAGAAAAAAUGUCAACACCACAGCAACAAACGAUUUAUGGACAUAGCCACGUUAGGACAACUUGCUAGUCGACUAAUGCCGGUAGUCAGCUGAUCAUGUGUUUACUCGUUAGCCAAACACGUGCAAAACAGUUUAUAUUGCACAAAUUCAGGUAGGUUCCUCCCCGUUUCGUUCAGUUUGCUUCCGUUUAAGAAACGUUUGCAACAUAGUCGGCGUAAUGAAUACGCCCCUGAUGAAUUAGGCCACCUCUAUCCCAAAGUAGUAGUGUCGUUGACUGUUCACAUUAAAAAGUGGUGGUAAUCGACCAUCCAGAAGUUUCCCAAUGUACUUGUAACUUGUUUGAUUCACAUAACAAUAAGUAUAAUGAGAAGCCCACCACAUAGCUGUCAAGCUCAUGUUGUCCAUGUUUGUCAAACUUGCACAAUAAAGAUCACACUACAAAUAGUACAGGUUGUUGUAAAUUAUACAUGUAAUCACCCAGAAAUUCAUCUUAGUAGGGUUUUCUUUUUGAGGAUGAACCCUUACAUGCUAGUCAUUCUUUGACUAAAGGUUGAAUAUUUGAAACCUAACAUUACUGUUUUCGUUUCAGAUCACGGCUAUACACAACACAAUUAGCCAAUGCAGGCAACUUCUCUGGACAGCCUAGUAAAGCUGCUGGACAUAUCUGGGGUCUGGCUCAACGAGCAGUCUGCAAAUCGGCCUACAGGACGUCAAGACCAAGGGGCAGUGCGGAAGUUCAUCCUGUCGACUGGCAUAUCCUCUGGGAGUUUGUCAAACCCCAGCUCUUUGCCCUUCUUGGUGCUGUCGUGGUGAGCAACUUAACACUACCCUUACAAAAAAAGAUUGCAGUCAGAGUUCAGUAUAACUGCAGUACAUUGCAGUAAUUUUGCAGUGUAACUGCAGUUACAGUGCAGUAUAACUGCAGUUCAGUUAUUCUGCAAUUACUGCGUCCAAAAUACCACAGUCAAUUGCAGUUUCUGCACAGUUUCAAAACUACAAUCUUUUUUGUAAGGGUACUGGACUGUAACAUGUAGGCCAAACUCCAGUGGUCGUUGAUCUUAUUGUAUUUUCCUAGUGUUGAAAUGUUGAGUGAUUUCAGACACCUCAAUUGGAAUGGAAUGAACCAAUCAUGUAUUUUUUUCCCAGCUUGCUUUUGGUGCUGCCAUCUUGAAUAUUCAAAUUCCUCUGUUGGGCAAUCUGGUGAACAUAGUGGCACGCUACAUGAGAGAACAUACUGGGAAUUGCAUGAGCGAUGAGGGAACCUGCUCUGAAGUCGCUGAUCUCCAAAUAAGUUGUUCAUGAUCUAAUUUAAAUUUAACUGUAGAUUGAAGAAUCUAUAUCUGUCAAAUACAUAGUAAAAUAUAUGGUCAUGAAAUAUAUUUGCUGGUUACAGCAUCCUGCUUUCUAGGGUAGGGGAGCGAGUAGCAGCAGACAUGGGGAAGACCCUUUUUCAAUCUUUACUCAGGGAUACAUACAGUUGCAGUUAUUUCUCUAUUGCAAGCAGAAGGUAGAAUAGACCAGUUCCAAGACAUGGAGUUGGGUGACUGACUAUAUGUCACGAGACCUACUACCUACUGUCCAACUAUCAGUCUUGCUAAUACAAUAGUUCCGUUAUUGUUUCAGGCAAGAUGUAGCCUUCUUUGAUGGCAAACAAGACUGGCAUGCUUGUGAACCGUUUGAAUGUUCAAGUCUUCCUUCCAACUGGUCAUCGUUCAGGUAUGGCUGUGGUCGUUGUUCUGUUGGAAGGUGAACCUUCGCCCCAGUCUGAGGUCCUGAGUGCUCUGGAGCAGGUUUUCAUCAAGGAUCUCUCUGUACUUUGCUCCAUUCAUCUGACUAGUCUCCCAGUCGCUUCCGGUGAAAAACACCCCCACAGCAUGAUGCUGCCACCACCAUGCUUCACCAUAGGGAUGGUGCCAGGUUUCACAUAAUACAUUACUAUCUAUCUAGGAUUCAAAAGGUGAUCAGUUGAUAUGGCCAUGUGAAACUAUAUCCUACUGUGUUUUCCAGUUGGUGAGAGCCCUCAGCUCUGGGGCCCGUGUUUUCGAGUACCUGUCUUUGGAGCCUCCAUUUCCACAGACAGGGUGUGGCCGCAUCCCUGACAAAUCUCUGACAGGAUGGGUGGACUUCAUGAACGUCACCUUCUGGCAAGACCAUGUCAGAAAGACAGUAUUAACACAAAGACAGACACACACAUUAUUUGUAUCAGUGAGUGCCAUUUUUUUCUUUGUUUUCCUACAGUUACCCAAUUAGACCUGGCCAACAGAUCCUGAAGAACUUCAACCUCAUCAUCCCCCUCUCUAAGACUGUUGCUAUCGUUGGAGAACCAGGAGGGAAGUCUACAGUGGCUUCCUUGCUGGAGCGUUUCUUUGACCCCAGCAGUGGUGUGAUCAUGUUGGAUGGCCUGGAUAUCCGGACACUGGACCCAUCCCAGAGGACAAGUAAUUAGAUUCAUCAAUCAGGAGCCUGUGCUGUGAUGGAGAACAUUUGCUUUGGUAAGCGGGGCCUACUGAUGCUGAGGUCAUCAACGCUGCCAAGCAGGCCAAUGACCACCGCUUCCUCACAGGCUUUCCAGAUGGAUACAACCCUGUGGUGGGUAUCUUCUCUUCCUAGGCUGGAACUCACAUGGAAUUGCUGAACAAAGGAGGGCUGUAUGCUGACCUCAUCCACAGGCAGAGAUCAGAGGGACAGAUGUGAACAGUACUUUGCAGAGCUGCCAACUCUCACUGAUUGGCCGUGAGACAAACACACGCAUUUGACCCUCUUUUCACGCUCUCACGGCACACCUCUUAUAUCUCACGAAUUGUAAAGUACUGCUUUUAUUUUUCAAAUUAGUCCAUUGUAUAGUCAGCACGUGAACCUUUCGACUGUGCUCCAAAUCGUUUUGAAAUCGGAGCAUUUGCGCCUGCAAUUUAACAUCACGAGUGGAAUCUCUAUCAUUGUACUAUCAUUGUCCUGUCUUGCCACAGCACUGUGAACCGCUUCACAUUGAAGCAUAUGAUUGGUCUAGUUAUGUAAAGGAUCAAGGUGAUUGGAUGCGUGUUUUAAAGAAACGCCCCUCAAGAUUAGAGUGGAGCUGAAUGGAGAGAGAAAAUAAUUUUCUGAGUUUAUAAAACUAAAGAGAGCAGCACGGUAGCGCUGUUUCAUGUACAAUGUUUUCAACAAAAUUAGGUUGCUGUUACUCCCAUCUUAUUGCAGACUGCAGUCUUCUGACAGCAUGUACUAAAGUCGAUUUAAUCCACA